rnacentral:rRNA from 1 species
UGGCAACUUUGAGGUUCUAACUCAGGUCCGUUAUCCGGAUCGAGGACAGUGUAUGGUGGGUAGUUUGACUGGGGCGGUCUCCUCCUAAAGAGUAACGGAGGAGUACGAAGGUGCGCUCAGACCGGUCGGAAAUCGGUCGUAGAGUAUAAAGGCAAAAGCGCGCUUGACUGCGAGACAGACACGUCGAGCAGGUACGAAAGUAGGUCUUAGUGAUCCGGUGGUUCUGUAUGGAAGGGCCAUCGCUCAACGGAUAAAAGGUACUCCGGGGAUAACAGGCUGAUACCGCCCAAGAGUUCAUAUCGACGGCGGUGUUUGGCACCUCGAUGUCGGCUCAUCACAUCCUGGGGCUGAAGCCGGUCCCAAGGGUAUGGCUGUUCGCCAUUUAAAGUGGUACGCGAGCUGGGUUUAGAACGUCGUGAGACAGUUCGGUCCCUAUCUGCCGUGGACGUUUGAGAUUUGAGAGGGGCUGCUCCUAGUACGAGAGGACCGGAGUGGACGAACCUCUGGUGUUCCGGUUGUCACGCCAGUGGCAUUGCCGGGUAGCUAUGUUCGGAAUAGAUAACCGCUGAAAGCAUCUAAGCGGGAAACUAGCCUCAAGAUGAGAUCUCACUGGGACCUUGAGUCCCCUGAAGGGCCGUCGAAGACUACGACGUUGAUAGGUUGGGUGUGUAAGCGCUGUGAGGCGUUGAGCUAACCAAUACUAAUUGCCCGUGAGGCUUGACCAUAUAACACCCAAGCAAUU